rnacentral:misc_RNA from 1 species
GAUGAAGAACGCAGCGAAAUGCGAUAAGUAAUGUGAAUUGCAGAAUUCAGUGAAUCAUCGAAUCUUUGAACGCACAUUGCGCCCCCUGGUAUUCCGGGGGGCAUGCCUUUUCGAGCGUCAUUUCACCACUCAAGCCUCGCUUGGUAUUGGGCAACGCGGUCCGCCGCGUGCCUCAAAUCGACCGGCUGGGUCUUCUGUCCCCUAAGCGUUGUGGAAACUAUUCGCUAAAGGGUGUUCGGGAGGCUACGCCGUAAAACAACCCCAUUUCUAAGGUUGACCUCGGAUCAGGUAGGGAUACCCGCUGAACUUAAGCAUAUCAAUAAGCGGAGGA